GUUCCCAGGCUAGGGGUCAAAUCAGAGUUACAGCCGCCAGCCUGCACUACAGCCACAGCAAUGCCGGAUCCUAACCCACUGAGCGAGACCAGUGAUCUGAACCCGCAUCCUCAUGGACACUAUGUUGGGUUCUUAACCCACUGAGCCACAACAGGAACUCCUGGGUGAUCUCAUUUUAACCACAGGAGCUUUCAGCCAAAUGUUGCUGAAGGGCCUGUGUCUGCCAGAGUCCUGUAAAGUCUGCCAGGGCACCUCCCUCGGCAUUUCCAGACAUCCCUGGGAGAGCAGAAUCCCUUUGAUGUGUCAUUGACACACUGGGGACCAAGUGACAAGAAUGGGGCUCUCAGGAGACAGGAUUCUUGGCCUGUGCUCCUCACUGGAUGAUUCUGUUACUUUAAGAGCAUUUUUAAUGAGACGCCAGCAGCCUUCAGUGAUUUCUCAGAGCUGCUGUGCCUUCUGCAUCCCAGUGAAAUCUGGGCACAUAAAUAGUCAUUAACGCAUCCAUUAGAAAGAGAAAAUGGAAGACCCUGGAAAGUAGCAGGGAUUCUACAAGCUCUACAAGCCCCAGGACCCUUGCUGGAACUGUGUCAAGGCAAGGCAGUGACAAGGCCUGAGAAGAGCAGCUUUCUUCCCAAAUGAUGUCACUCGAGGGCGGGAAGCCCCACCCCCCGUCGCGGGCCGACCUGGUGUUUUCCUCCUUCUUGCUCCCCAGCUGCCAUCUGCGAGGGACGUGGGGCUGCUUUAGAGGGACAGGGUCCUUGGGGGAGGGGGCCGCUGCCAGGAAGGGUUCUGGGCUCAGGUUGGAAGGAGGAGGCAGGGGAACUGGGGUGACUGGGUCAGAGAAACGUCUCAGCACCUUCCGGAUCUCCAAGGUGGGUUGUCACCCUGCUCCUGGAGGGCGAGAGCGUUGGGUUCCUGGUGGGCAGGGGGAGGGUCUCUGAAAUGCCCCAAGUGAGGGCGGGGUGGUGCUGGGAGGAGGAAAAAAAUGCGCCAGCUCCUUCCUCUCGCCAAGGCUUGGCUGUGGCUGCGGUGGGAGUUUUUGUUUGGGUUUGUUUUUGCUUUUUCCUUUUCAUCAAUCCGUUCUGGGGCUGCCACGGAAAACAGCUCUCUCCAGCUUCUUCCGGGGGCGAUUGUGCAUGUAACCCCCGGGCCAGCCUUGUGUCUCUCUAAUUCCUUCUGAUAACCCCAAGGGAAUGUAGGUUUUGUUCACCUGCAACUCCCAGGCACAGUGCUUUCCCAGCCUGCCACAGGGAAGCUUUAUGCUGUGAUAGAUCCCAGGGCACUCAGAGUCCAGCACUUAAAACGGAGGGACUGACACUGACCAAGCACCAAUUGUAUGCCAGGAACUCUUCUAAAGUGCUUUAUGUGUGUUGAACCAGUUAACCUGCCAGGUAGGUAUUGUUCUCUGUUUUCAGAUGAGGAAACAGGCUUGAAGAGGUAAGAAAAUUGUGCAAGGUUGCACAGCCAGGCUAGGGCAGGCUGGCAUUCUGACUCCACUAUGCCAUACCCUCAGGGGUGCAUUGUAUUUUUUUCCCUGUGGCUGCACAGGAGGGUAUGUAUUCACAUCUCCAUUUCUGGUUAUUUAACUUCUUUCAGAAAUUUGUACUGGUGCUCUCUUGUGCUGCAAUAGGUUCAGGUUCUGGCUCAGGUGGCUGCAGUGGGGUGGGUUUGAUCCCUGGUCUGAGAACUUCGGCAUGCCAUAGGCAUGGCCAAAAAAUACAAAAACUUAAAAAUUAUAAAAUUAUUUUUUGCUAUUAUUAAUAAUAUAGCGAUGAAUGUUUUUGGAAUAAUAACAGUUAUGCUUAACAUGUUUUGAACUGCUAAUGGUGUGACAAGCACUAUUUCUUUUUUUUUGGAAUUAUUAUUUUGUAAUUCCUCUAGCAAUCUCUAUUUAUUUAUUCUUUUUAUUUUUACUUAUGUGUUUUUUAAUUUUUAUUUUAUUUUAUUUUGCUGCAAAUAGAAGUUCCCAGGCUAGGGGUCCAAUCAGAGCUGCAGCUGCCAGCCUACCCCACGGCUCACAGCAACACCAGAUCCUUAACCCACUGACAGAGGCCAGGGAUUGAACCGGCGUCCUCAUACUAGUCAGGUUCAUUUCCACUGAGCCGUGAAGGGAACUCCUGUUUAUUCUUUUUAUUUAUGUAUAGUUGAUUUACAGUGUUGGGCCAGGCACUCUUUCAAGUUCUUUAUGCAUCCUAACUAAUUUAAUCUCUUGUGACUACUCUGAGUGCUGUAUAACUGAUGAGGAAACUGAGGCCAGAGCAGUUGGUUAACUAUUUCAUGCAGGUUGCACAAUUAGUAACUGCCAGUGCUGUCUCAAGGCUGUUGUUCUUAGGAGGCUUCUUGGACAUUUCCCCCCGCCCACCCGCCACCCCCCACCACCACCACCACCAAACACUUCACCAGCAGAGUCUCCUACAGUUCAGUCACUUUGGACAGUGAUACCCCGAGAGAGCCUCAGACCCCAUAGGUUAAGGGUUCGGUCUCAUAAGACAGAACCCUACCCUCCCCCAACUCCCUCCUCCCCAGCCCCACCCCAUCUGACCAGUCACAAGUCCAGGUUGUGACUGUUCAUCUGACCUACUAGCUGUAGAUGGGAGGCUCCAACGACCCACUCCUUGUGUUCCAUUAAUUUGCUAGAGCGACUCACAGAACUCAGAAAUAUUCCCUUCUAGGUCACUGGUUUCUUCUGAAAGACUAGCGCUCGGGAACAGACAGCUGGAAGGGAUGCAUGGGGCAAGGUGUGGCAAGAGGGGGAGGGGCUCCCAUGCCAGGCACACACUCUCCCCUGAAUCUCCACCUGUUCCCCCGCCCGAAAGCUCUCUGAAUUCCGUCUCUCUAGGUUUUUAUGGAGAUUUCGUUACAUCAGCACGAUUGAUUCCGUCCUUGGCCAUUGGUGAUUGAUUAAGCCUUCAGCCCCUCUCCCCUCCCUAGAGGUCAGGAUGUGGGACUGAACUAAUCACAGGGUUGGUUGUCCUGGCAAUCAGCCCCCACUCAUCUUUAGGUGUGGUCUAAAAGUCAAUUCAUUAUCGUUAACAAAAGACCCCUUAAUGGGUCUCCUCACUUGGAAAAUUCCAGGAGUUUAGGAAUGCUAUGCCAGAAAUGAAAUGAAGACCAAAUAUAUAUUUCUUAUUACAAAGCACAAUAUCAUAGGGUGAGAUUCAGAUAGAACAGGAGAGGCUUUAGGGGGAAAAUAAAGUAAUCAAAGUUUUAAGGUAAUAUUGUAUAGAAGAUGUGAUAUGAGUCAGGUUGUUAUAGAAAAAAAAAGAAAAGAAAAAGAUGGUAUUUAGCAGAACCCGGGGCCCCUGUCAAGGUUCUUAGGUACUGAAAACACUAUCUAGUUAGAGUAGAAAAGGAAUUUAUUAAAGAAUAUUAAAAAUCAUCAUGAGGAGUUCCCGCUGUGGUUCAGUGGAAAUGAAUCCGACUAGGAACAAUGAGGUUGCAGGUUCAGUCCCUGGCCUUACUCAAUGGGUUAAGGAUCUGGUGUUGUAGUGAGCUGUGGUGUAGGUCACAGACGUGGCUCAGUUCUGGCGUUGGCUGCGACUCUGUCAUAGGCCAGCAGCAACAGCUCCAAUUAGACUCCUAACCUGGGAACCUCCAUAUGCCACAGGUGCAGCCCUCUAAAGACAAAAAAAAAAGUCAUGAAAGAACAACAUACAGAAUGAGAAAAUAUUCUCAAAUCAAAUUCCAAUAAGGGACUUGUUUCCAGAAUAUAAAAAUUAGGAGUUCCUGUGUGGCUCAGCAGAUUAAGAAUCUGACACUGUUACUGCAGUGGCUUGGGUCACCACUGUAGCACAGGUUCAAUCCCUGGCCUGGGAAUUUCCACAUGCCGCAA
rnacentral:lncRNA from 1 species